GGUAAGGUGGCUGAGUGUUCAAGCGGUGGGUUGUAGCCCCAUAUACAGAGGUUUAAGUCCUCUCCUUAUCA
rnacentral:tRNA from 1 species